rnacentral:lncRNA from 1 species
UUGAUUCAUGUUAUAUGAUAAGUUUGUUAUUUUGCCACAUAAAGAGGAGUAUUGGAGUAGUGAUAAAAGAAAUCUCGCAUUUGUUAAAUUAAGGGUAUUUUAGGCAUACAAAUGUAUAAGGGCCUCUCCACCUGUUGUCAAUUGACUUUAGGUUUGAUGUUUUCCCUAAAAAUUCAACAUGAUAUCAAAGCAGGUUGUCUAUUUUUAAUUCUUUUCUAAACCCUUGUCCUUAUACUAUUUAAAUUGUACCUAGCCUUCCCCAAAAAUCACCACUAGCCAAUAUCAUAGGCAUAAUACGAUUAUUACCCAUUACAAGAGAAGCCAUUUGGUGUAACCUUGUCACCUAACAUCAUUGAAAACUAUGGUACUGGAUUUUACACUAUUUCAAAUUUUGUUGAAUCCACAUCACUUUUCGACCAUCAAAUCACAACACUGUCACUUUUAAUUGCCCUGUUGUUUUCUUGAUCUAUUAAACAAUCUUAGAUGGAGCUCUAUUAGAUGUCACAUGUGCCACCACACAUCUACAUGCUUGGGAAGCUCUUGCCUCACGUGCCCGCAUGUUGGUUGCCUUAUCUUGACAUCAUUUGCCAUUUCUCAGCAUGUCACAUCUUCUACCACAUUAACAUACUAUUUAUUUGCCAUGUGUAUUGCCACGCCAAUAGCCAAAUCACCUUAUUGCAACGUGUCUUGCCAUGUCAAGACUUUCAUGAGGUCACUAUUUUUGCUAAUUUUGACCUCUUAAUUUUGAAUUUAACCUUUGUUUUUGCUAAUAUUUACGGUAAGAUGGAGAAAUCUGAAGCUUUUAGCAAUUGUAAUUGUUCUGAUGAAAAAAAAUUUAAUUUUAUGGGUCAAAGGUAUGAUAAGUUAUCUAAUUAGACAUAAAUAUUGGCACAUUGUCACCGGAAACAUUAUUCAACCUAUACAUGGGGCCAAUGAGCCUAUUAUCAAGUUUGUACUUGAAGAUUAGGUUAGCAAAACUCAUUAAAUCAUUACUUGGUUUUCUAACACCUCUCUUCCAAAUAUUCAUGUUCAUUUGGGAUUUUCGUAUCACUAGGCAUAAAAUUUUUGGACUUGCUCACUAUUAUCAAUUGUGGACUAUUCACAAUUUGAAAUAGGAUUCGGCAAAUCAUUGAUGAUGUUUUGGCCUAAGUUUAACCUAUUUAGAAUCAACUACUGUAGGCUAAAAUUAAUGAGGAUCACCUUUAUCUUUCUUAAGGUUCUCAUGGCUUUUGGUCUAGAAAAUGAAGCUGUUAGAGUUUCAUUGCUGCAUGGUAGUCCACUUCUGACAUUAGAUAUUGCUAUUCAAGAAAUUAUUUUUGAGGAGACACGUCUUGACUUGGAUAAAUCUCCACAGGUUGAUGUUGCUCUUACUACUACUAAUUCCUAACCAUUAAACCAAAAAUCUAACAUUAAGUUCUAUAAGAAUUAUUGACAAAAAAGUCUCAAUUUUCUAAUUGCCUAACAAUUGAAUGCAUGUUUUGUCAUAAGGUUGGGCAUUUACAUAUAUUAAAAGUUAUCCCAAGGACAAUUGAGGGGUUAAUUGCUGGCCAUGUGGCAUGGCCAAUUGAACCCUUGGGACACGUUUGCCAUUCUUGACAAAGUCAAGGCUUUAUUUUUCAUUUGAUCUCUUUCUAGUAUUUUUAUCUUUUCCUUCAUGACAGUUAUCAUGCGGUUUUUUGGCCAUCAAAGCCUUCAUUUGAUCGGUUUUUCCUUUCCAAAAACAAGGGUCACUUUGGGUUUCUGUUUGAGGUUUUUCAACUGUUUUGGUUUUGGGUUUUGCCACUGGGGUUUGUUGCUUCUCCGAUUGAUUUGUAUGAUAUAUUCAGUUUUUUAUGUAUUGGCUUUUUGCAUAUGCCGGUUGGGUUUUCUUGCAUUUGGGAUUUUGCUUGUCAGGGUAGGGUGCUUUUGGGUUUUUAUUCUUAAUUUAUUUGUUGGCGUUUUAGCUUGAGAUUCUUCUAAUGUUUUUGUUUUGGGUUUUGUCGCUUGGGUUUCUUGCUUCUCUUGUUGAUAUGCUUGAUAUCAACCAAAACAAGGGUUUUUAUUUUAGAUUUCAACCCGACUCUUUGCAUGUAUCUUAGAGUAAAAAGCACAUGGGUUUCUUGCUUUUCCUAUUGAUUUGCUUGAUAUAACAUGAAAUUUACCACUUUGGCUUGUUGCUUUUUCAGUUGAUUUACAUUACAUAUCAGUUUUGCAUGUAUUGGCUUCUUGCAUGUGCUACUUGGAUUUUCUUGCAUUUGGGAUUUUUCUUGCCAAGGCAGGGUGCUUUUGGGGUUUUUAUUCUUUAUUUGUCUGAUAGGGUUUUGGCCUGAGAUUCUUCCGGUGUUUUUAUUUUCAGUUUUGUCGCAUGGGUUUCUUGCUUCUCCUAUUGAUUUGCUUGAUAUUAGUUGAAGCAAGGGUUGUUGAUUUCAAAUUUCAAUUUGACUUUUUACAUGUAUCUUAGAGUAAAAAGUUUUUGAUUUGCGCAAUUUAUCAAGUUGAAGGUAUGACAUUUUGAGAAAUAUAAACAAUAAAUUGUGUAGGUGUUGUUGCAUAUGAUUGAUUAGCAAUGAGUGAUUGUGGUUGUGUAUAAAUAUCUUACUAUGAAACUCAACUACUCUUUUCAAUUCAACUUAUUUAUAAUUGUACUUUUUUCUCUUAUUAUUUUCCUAGUGUUUUGUAUGAAACUACUAUAAUUGUACUUAGGAUUUCUGAUUUCUUUCAAUUUUCGUAACACGUAUACAUCAUUGGAUUAAAGUAAAAAGUUUUUGAUUUUGACAAUUUAUCAAGUCGAAGGUAUGCCAUUUUGAGAACUAUAAACAAUAGAUUGUGUAACUGUUAUUACAUGUGAUUGAUUAGCAAUGAGUGAUUGUGGUUAUGUAUAAAUAUCUUGCUAUGAAACUUAACUAUUCUUUUCAAUUCAGAUUAUUUAUAAUUGUACUUUUUUUCUCUUAUUAUUUUCCCAAUGUUCUAUAAAAAAUUACUAUAAUUGUACUUACGAUUUCUUUCAAUUUUCAUAACACAUAUACAUCAUUGGAUUAAGUGUUCAAUGUUAUUCCAAGUUUUGCUUCCUCCACUACUUUUUUUGAAUAAAUUGACAAAUUUACACUAUUUAGAUUGUUCAUAAGAUUGUAUUUUAUUCUCUACUAUUAUUGUUUUCUUAUUGUAUUUUGUUUUAACUUGAGCAUGUAGAGGUGUUGGAAGAGAAUCUUAAUUGGGAAGAUGUACAGUGGUCACAAAUAAGUGUUUGGAUAGCUGGAAAAGAGUACGUUGUUACUCGGGUGCAUUUUCUAUCUUUUAUUUUCAUGUUUGGUAUCACAUGUACAACCAUUUGUGAUGUUUUUAUUUGUUAAUGAAAAUUACAAAUGUUAAACUGUUACGACCCGAUACUUCCCUCAAAUCCGUGACAACCAUCGCGGUAUCCCGGUAGACACUCAUUACCCGAAAUGUCAAACCAAAAUCCUGUAAGGCUUUAAUAUCAGUAUCUCAUUUCCCUUGUGAGCAACCAUUGUCAAAUAUCGUGUUUUAAAAGAUUUUAAGCUGUUUCUAGCUUAAAACAAAUAAAAUAUUAAUAUUUGUCUCACUGGGGUAUUUUGGUCAUUUUUUUAAAAAUUUCGAAAUCAGCCAAUAAUGUAGUAUAUAAGUGCAGAACACAUAUUUCAAAAUCAAAAAUAAAUUUAGAUGUCUAAAACAUUCGUUUAAAACGAAAUUAUGAUUAUUUGGAUAUAAUAAGAAAAUAAAAUAAAUAUUAAGUAAAAUAUUUUAUUUUCUUAUUAAACAAUAUUUUCAGAGUUAUAUGUAGAUAAUUUUUGUAGCAUAAAAGUAAAGUAAAUUCAUACAUACUGUAAUACAGUAAAUCAGAGUAUUUAAUUUAAUUUACAAUGACCAGUGGGCUUCCGAAUAAUCAAAAGUAAAGAGGACUGUGAACCUACAGUUUCAAGAAAUGCAAAUCCAAGGGUAGUUCUCAAUGAACUCAGCUAUCUACAACCUAAUAUGAAUCUGAAAUGGGUGACAAGAAUAGUGGUGAGAUUUUAUAAUCUCAGUGAGUAAACAAACAUCAUCCGAAAUAUCUAAAGUCGAGUAAAAGGAGACAAUUAAAAUAUUUCAUCUCAAUAUGUAUUUCAUAACAUAAAUAUUCAUUUCAUUUAAAUAUUCAACAUGGCUUAUGAGUAUCUUAAAAGCUUGGUUCCUGCCAAAAUCAUUCUCGGGGAUACCUUGGUCAAGGCAUCUAACCGAGUCCGCCAAGGCUGUUAAAAAGUUCGAAUACACGUAAACAUAUUUUUAGUUUGACAAACACAGCCAUUCCUUGGCGUUAGCGGAGUUCAUCAUCACGAGGUGGUUCGGUGUGACGUGAACUAUGUCCAUACCUUAAGAGAUAUCCUACGCGCCUCUCCGACCGAGGUACAUAUAUAUAUAUAUCUGGAUUUCGUGCCCCUUUAAUAGGCUGGUUCACAGAAUCCGCCUACUGCAGUAAGCUAAACUCACAAUACAAUAAAAUUUUGACAGCAUGACAGGGCUAAUAUUUUACUUCCCAGCCUGCAAGGGUAAAAUAAAACAAUUCAUACAAUUCAUAAAACACAACCCAGCCAGUCAUGCCAACACAAUAACAAUAUGACAUAAGCCAUCAAUUUCCAAUCAUAGAUUUACAACAUACCGGUGGUCUCCAAUUACUCUAUUUUCAAAAUCGUUAUUUCGUUUCAAGACAAUUUAUAAAAUCUUUUUAUUUAAACACAUUUUGUUUACAAAACAUAAAAAUUUACCAUUUGAACUCAUUUUCAUAAAAUUUACCAAAAUCUUAUAAAAACAUACUUUAGAUAAUUAAAAUGAUGGUAAGGUUACUCAUUAUUUCGAGAAUCGAAUUUCUAGAGUACUAUGACUACUGAUCAUCGAGUACAAUUUUCUUACCUUUAUCGGAGGAUUCACCACCUAGACAUAGUACAAAAUCGAGAAACUUACUAUAUUGGUACUAAAUCAAAAUUAAACUAAUUUAGACUACUAAUGCAUGAUAUGUAAUGUAAAAAUGUCCGAAUAGCCGUUUAAAUACGGUAUUCGACCUAAUUCGCACUAUUCUCGGUGUAAUUAGCUAAAACCUCCAAUUUAACUCCAAAUCGAUUUCUUUCACUUUCUACACUCCAAUUAUACUUAAAAUACCUCAAUGACUGUGAAUAUGAUUCAAUUUAUCAGUCCGAAUCAUAAAUCGUACAUGUCUAUACAUUAGGUAAAAAUUCAGAUUUUCAUGCCAAAAUUUCCUAUUAAAUUUCUAGCCUCACCAAUCAUUAAAUAUCACCAAAUUAUCAUGAAAUAUCAUCAAUUUCAGCCUCAAUAUUCUCCCUAGAAAAUUCAGCCCCUUAUGGGUAAUGGGAGAAAAUGAAUUUUUUUCUUGUUAUUUUGUUUCUAAAUAUGCUAAACUAACUAAAAACACUAACAUAACUUAGAAUCAAAUCAAUCCAACUUCAUUCUCUCUCCAUACCCAUUUGGUCAGCCAUGAAUUCACCAUGAAAACNNNNNNNNNNNNNNNNNNNNNNNNNNNNNNNNNNNNUUUUCUUGUUGUUUUGUUUCUAAAUAUGCUAAACUAACUAAAAACACUAACAUAACUUAGAAUCAAAUCAAUCCAACUUCAUUCUCUCUCCAUACCCAUUUGGUCAGCCAUGAAUUCACCAUGAAAACUUGAGUUCUAAGCAUGAAAAAUGAAAAAGAAAGCAUGGGUAGUGUAAAUCACAAGAUAAAAUCACAAAAUUUUACCUUUAUUAGCUUAAUCCCUUGAAAUCCACACUUUUUCUUCAAUUUUCCCACCUAGGUUUUGUUCUUUCUUUGUUGAACUUCACUUCAUGCUUUGGCCG